rnacentral:rRNA from 1 species
UCGGGAAUUUUGGGCAAUGGGCGAAAGCCUGACCCAGCAACGCCGCGUGAGGGAUGAAAUAUUUCGGUAUGUAAACCUCGAAAGAAUGGGAAGAAUAAAUGACGGUACCAUUUAUAAGCUCCGGCUAACUACGUGCCAGCAGCCGCGGUAAUACGUAGGGAGCAAGCGUUGUUCGGAUUUACUGGGCGUAAAGGGCGCGUAGGCGGCGCGGUAAGUCACUUGUGAAAUCUCUGAGCUUAACUCAGAACGGCCAAGUGAUACUGCUGUGCUAGAGUGCGGAAGAGGCAACCGGAAUUCUUGGUGUAGCGGUGAAAUGCGUAGAUAUCAAGAGGAACACCUGAGGCGAAGGCGGGUUGCUGGGCCGACACUGACGCUGAUGCGCGAAAGCCAGGGGAGCAAACG